GACGAACCGUGCGAACGUUAUUCGGAUUCAUUGGGCUUAAAGGGCGCGUAGACGGGUCGGCGCAUCGGACGCUGAAAGCCCCCGGCUUAACCGGGGAACAGGCGCCGAGAUGGCCGGCCUCGAGUGGAGGAGGGGGACCUGGAACUGCCGGUGGAGCGGUGAAAUGCGUAGAUAUCGUAAGGAAGACCAGUGGCGAAGGCGGGUCUCUGGACAGUUCCUGACGCUGAGGCACGAAGGUCAGGGGAGCAAACGGG
rnacentral:rRNA from 1 species